rnacentral:rRNA from 1 species
AUUGAACGCUGGCGGCAGGCCUAACACAUGCAAGUCGAGCGAGCGGCGGACGGGCGAGUAAUGCCUGGGAAUUGCCCAGUCGAGGGGGAUAACAGUUGGAAACGACUGCUAAUACCGCAUACGAUUGGAUUGCCCAGGUGGGUUUAGCUUGUUGGUGGGGUAAUGGCUCACCAAGGAGACGAUCCCUAGCUGGUCUGAGAGGAUGAUCGGCCACAAUGGAACUGAGACACGGUCCAGACUACUACGGUAGGCAGCAGUGGGGAAUAUUGCACAAGGGGGGAAAGCCUGAUGCAGCCAUGCCGCGUGUGUGAGGAAGGCCUUCGGGUUGUAAAGCACUUUCAGCGAGGAGGCGUUACUCGCAGAAGAAGCACCGGCUAACUCCGUGCCAGCAGCCGCGGUAAUAC